AGGCCCCAGAGACUGCAACACCACUAAGCCAGGGACACCACCAAUUAAGUGGCACUAUGAAGACCAAGGAGCUCUCCAAACAGAAUCCAAAGGUUUGAUGGCCCCAAGACAGGGCAGUGUGGGACUUCUAGGUCCUCCAGCAGGUGUGCCACUCCCCUUCCUCCCACUCCUCCUCCUCCUCUGUGGCCAGAUGCUGGAUGCCCAGGGACAAGCUGGUGAUCGAAUGGAUUUCUUCCCUUCUCUCACUUCCUAUGCUGCUACAAAUGCACAAUCUUGAGUUCAUAUGUAUCACACAUUGCAAAAAUACUAUGCAUAAUAUACAUACAACUAACUAAAUGUAAUAAUAAUGUCUAUGAAGAAUAGUGGCCAUUGGCUCAAUUUACCCAAAGGAAAACAUUUAGACUAUUAGCCCAUACAGCUACAAGGAUGCACAUUCAUGCUAAGUUUAGUACCUCAUAUUGUAGUUUAUAGAGACCCCAACUGAUGUAUAGAACAAUCUACUUUGGUUUAUAUACAAGCAUCAAGAACUGUAUAAUACCAUGCAUUCAUUUGACUUUGUGAAAAUCUGUUUUUUGGACCUGACCUCACUUUUUCCAUGUGGUUUCUUCCUUCAGACUCCAUUAAAUGAGGACCUCUUCCUAAA